AUGAUUAGAAACAUUUAUAUUCGUGGUUUCCGGUUCUUGGUGUGCUCGUCGUUCAACGUAUAACCGUUGCAGUUAAAAAAAAAAAAAAUCAACCGAACAGAAGCAGCAACACGUUAGCAACAAGCGACUCAAUCCCCUUCAGCCGUUAGCUAGCUAACAGAAGUGGACUGUGUGGGGUGCAGCUGCCUUCACGUGGUAUCGGAAUUAUGGCCUUGCAAAGGCUGCUGCAGAGGAGCUUCACCACCCGUGGAGUUUCUUUCCUGUCUUCAUUUAUUUCUGUUGCUCAGCCUACCCUCAUUGAACUGUGUGGACUAAAUCACAGAAACAACAUCAGUCUACUGCACAAUCCAGCCACACCACAAACUGCAGCCAGGGAAAUUGUUGUACAAUAAAGACCUCUACAACUA